rnacentral:rRNA from 1 species
GGCUAAUCCUGGUCGGACAUCAGGAGGUUAGUGCAAUGGCAUAAGCCAGCUUGACUGCGAGCGUGACGGCGCGAGCAGGUGCGAAAGCAGGUCAUAGUGAUCCGGUGGUUCUGAAUGGAAGGGCCAUCGCUCAACGGAUAAAAGGUACUCCGGGGAUAACAGGCUGAUACCGCCCAAGAGUUCAUAUCGACGGCGGUGUUUGGCACCUCGAUGUCGGCUCAUCACAUCCUGGGGCUGAAGUAGGUCCCAAGGGUAUGGCUGUUCGCCAUUUAAAGUGGUACGCGAGCUGGGUUUAGAACGUCGUGAGACAGUUCGGUCCCUAUCUGCCGUGGGCGCUGGAGAAUUGAGGGGGGCUGCUCCUAGUACGAGAGGACCGGAGUGGACGCAUCACUGGUGUUCGGGUUGUCAUGCCAAUGGCACUGCCCGGUAGCUAAAUGCGGAAGAGAUAAGUGCUGAAAGCAUCUAAGCACGAAACUUGCCCCGAGAUGAGUUCUCCCUGACUCCUUGAGAGUCCUGAAGGAACGUUGAAGACGACGACGUUGAUAGGCCGGGUGUGUAAGCGCAGCGAUGCGUUGAGCUAACCGGUACUAAUGAACCGUGAGGCUUAACCUUACAACGCCGAAG